UACGUAGGGUGCGAGCGUUAAUCGGAAUUACUGGGCGGAAAGCGUGCGCAGGCGGUUUUGUAAGCCAGAUGUGAAAUCCCCGGGCUUAACCUGGGAAUGGCAUUUGGGACUGCAAGGCUUGAGUGCGGCAGAGGAGACUGGAAUUCCUGGUGUAGCAGUGAAAUGCGUAGAUAUCAGGAGGAACACCGAUGGCGAAGGCAGGUCUCUGGGCUGACACUGACGCUCAUGCACGAAAGCGUGGGGAGCAAACAGG
rnacentral:rRNA from 1 species